AGCAAAAUAGCCUGUUGAGAAAAAUGUGUAUGCUGAAAAAAAAAAAUGAACAAAUAGGAAAGCCUGGUUCACAAACAGGUGUCAGGGAAAUAGACAGUACUUUUAUAGUAAUAACAUAAGAACAAACUUCUUGAAGGUAAGUUUUAUUAAAUAAUAGGACAACAACAAGAUAAAAUGACUUCUUCCUGAUAUUUAUAUAUUGAUUGCUGGCUGGUCAUAAGACUGUUUUUAGGCAACGUGUUUUGAAAAACCAGAAAGUCUACUACCUUGAGUUUUCAGCCACGUGAGAAUAGCAAGAUUCAGUGUUUAUACUUGAUAGCAUCUUAAUUAGGCCUACAGGCCUCCCUUUCACAUAACUACCUUCAAGUUUAUGACAGCUCAAACUCACAAUUAUCAUUAUGGAGAAGAGAGAAGAGUUAAGCUAAAAACAGACCACUUUCAGAGGACCUGAAAGCAACGUAAUCAGUCACCUAUUGCCAUAUACAAGCCACCCCCAAACAUAAUGACUUAAAACAGCGAUCAUCUAUUAUUGCUUAUGAGUCUCUGAGUCAGCUGAACAUUCCUGCUGAUCUGGGCUUGGUUAGGCUUAUUUUAGCUGUGUUCAUUCUUGGUCUGCAGAUAGCUGACAAUCACCUAGGGGCUGACUGUAGGCAUUCCAGCUGAGAUAUGCUCUCUGUGUCUUUUAUCCUUUAGCAGGAGGAGGCUUGCUCACAGGGUGGUUACAGGCAUCCAAGAGAGUCAGCAUAAAUGUGAAAAGUUUCCAAAAUAUCAGAUUCAGUCCUAUGUAAUCUGGUUUCCAUUGCAUUCUCUUGGCCAGAGCAAGUUGCAAGACAAGUCCAAAUUCAAGAAGGUCAAGAAAUACACUCCAUCUCCAGAGAAAUCUAUGACUUUGAGUUGAAAUAUCUGAGGCCAACACUCCAAGCAAUUUUAAACAAGUGGUGACAGAAAUUACCAGACACACAUCAAGACUCAAGUAUAAAGCUAUACAAUUUAAGGAUGCUCAGCAAAUGUUACUGAAUUGACUGGGUAGUCCCUAAAGAGCUGAAGAAUAAAAGAUGUUAUGAGAAAUCCAACAAUACCAAAUAUA
rnacentral:lncRNA from 10 species